rnacentral:rRNA from 1 species
GACGAACGCUGGCGGCGUGCUUAACACAUGCAAGUCGAACGGUGAAGCCCUUCGGGGUGGAUCAGUGGCGAACGGGUGAGUAACACGUGAGCAACCUGCCCCUGACUCUGGGAUAACUACCGGAAACGGUGGCUAAUACCGGAUAUUACUUGCCUGGGCAUCUGGGUGGGUGGAAAGUUUUUCGGUUGGGGAUGGGCUCGCGGCCUAUCAGCUUGUUGGUGGGGUGAUGGCCUACCAAGGCGACGACGGGUAGCCGGCCUGAGAGGGCGACCGGCCACACUGGGACUGAGACACGGCCCAGACUCCUACGGGAGGCAGCAGUGGGGAAUAUUGCGCAAUGGGCGAAAGCCUGACGCAGCGACGCCGCGUGGGGGAUGAAGGCCUUCGGGUUGUAAACCUCUUUCAGCAGGGAAGAAGCGUGAGUGACGGUACCUGCAGAAGAAGCACCGGCUAACUACGUGCCAGCCGCCGCGGUAA